ACUGGCCCUGGCUGUGCGCGGCCGCGCAGGUGGCGGCGCUGGCAGCCUGGCUGCUCGGCAGGCGGAACUUGUAGGAACGCGGGGCUUCAUGGUGGGGCCGGAGCCGAGACCCAGCCGGAGCGAGCAACAGGUUGGUGAAAACCCUGUGUCCUUGGAGAAAGCUGGUUCCCGUUUUCCUGAGAGGGAGCCCAGAGCUUGAAAGGCCGCAGUUGGCACUUCAAGAAGGAAGUGGAGAAUAAAGACAGCGCCUGGAGCAAUAGUAGCAACUCGGAAUGGGACUGGGGAAGCCCUUUGGAUAUCCAGCUGCAGAAACAGACAUCCCAACGCUAUUUACACAGCUCUCUAUAUAUAUAAAAAAGAAAAUAUGAAUAUUACUAUUCAGUGCAUGCCUUGUUGAGGACGUGGUCCCCUCCCUUUUCUGCACCUUCCGAUGUGAACUUUGACGCUCUUUCAUGUCUGGGGCACUGGAAGAGAGAUGCCUACUGUGUAUUUAGAAAAUUUGAAGAGACUGGUGGGAAUUAGCCUCAGAGGCAACCAACUGCCUGGGAGGGAUGCUGGUGGAGAAAGCAGUGUAACUGCAAAAGGCUAAAUAGGAAAGAAAGUGAGGAGAACUCAGGGCCAGUUUGUACGGGCAGUCUGGGGUAUCUCCAUUUCUAAGUCGUGACAAGUCCUAGCCUCUCUGUGUCUCUACCUUCCUAGAUAGAUGGCUAGUCCUACUGUAACAUCAAGACAAAUGGGAUUUUUUUUUCCUACCAAUCUGGUGUCUCCGGUGCUUCACUUAAAUUUUGUUGGUGCUAAGUGUGUUCUUGCUGGUGCUGCCAUGGUAUUCUGUUGCCAGACUUGCAAGGCCGAGGGGACAAGAGAGAUUUCUAUUUUGCUGUUUUAGAUUCUUUUUCUAAAGGGAUCAGUCACAAAAAGUCUGAUGUGUUUUUUGUUUUUGUUUUUUUUUUUUUUCAGGAUAAGCUACUAUUUUCAGAAGUUUCUAGAAGGGCUAAAAAAAGAUGUGUGCUGGACUGAGACUUGGCUGCAAAGACUCUUCAGGGAGAGAUGAUUAUUUUUUGCUUUCAUUAAAAAAAAAAAAUCCAACAACAGGUAUUAUUCCUCUGUGUAGGGCAUACACACUGCUGUGUGCAAAGCUGAGAUGGUGAGGCACCAGGCUGCAGGUUCAGUUAUUCUAUGAAGCUGGAUUUGCAGGUCACCAUCCAGUACUCUGGACAGGGGGUCUGCUGGGCUAGUUAGUGGACACCCUUCCAGUUCUAAGAAGCCAGCAGAGGGAACAGCCAUUUUAAGGUUGCCAUGGGGUGGAAAUGGCAAUUCUUCCUCAAGGGCUUUGCUGAAAAUUACCAGGUCCUUUAGAAUGCAGGAGCUUUCAGUGCUGCUGCAAGCCUGGAGCUGUCUUUUCUUUCUUUUUUUAAAUCCACGUUCUCCUAAAUAGCCCUUUCAAGAAAAAUACAACCUAGAACUAUGGCAGGUGAGGGCAGCUCCUUCUCUCCUCCCCUCCCCAAGAGCCUGGAACUCAGCAAAGUGAAAAGGAAAGCUUGUUUAUAGAGAAUUUGAUUCCCUUCAUGGCUGGAGCCCUCCUCACAGUUCUGUUGACGGGCUGGGUGUGUAGACAGGGUCGUCAGGGAGCCUCAGGCGAUAUCCCCACCAAGCCGUGAACUUAGAGAAGGCAAUUCGAAUGAUAUGAAAUGCAGUCUCUGCUUUUAUUUGGUUACUUUCCUAGCCAGACACUAGAUUUUCCAGUUUACCCCAUUUUCUGGGGAGGGGAUUUUCACUGCUAUGGUUGUACUUGGUCACAGCUCUCUGCUGCUUUAAGGCUGCACCUUCAAGACCACAGUGGAGACAUGCUGACCACUGAGACACAGGCUAAGGGUCAGAGAAUCCCUUUUUCGACCCUGACUAGCUUGUGACAUUUACCCUGGAGGAUCCAAACUCCAGAUGCUGGGGUUUUGGGGCAAUUUUUAUUUCAAUGAAGCCACACUGCUGAGAGAACUGGGCACCAAGGACCCUCCUAAUGGAGCUUUACAGCCAAGUCCCUUGUACAUAUUCUCUUAUAUUAUUAGAAACUGUGUAUUUAUCUAACCCCGGUUUCUUCUUGCACAUCAUUAAUUUGAGUGCAUUUCUCAACUGCCCCGAUUUUUGACAAGGGGUUGUUUUUAAUGCUUGUUUUUAUAUGAGAUUUGACUUCUUGAUGGACAUUUGUAUUAGGAAAUUGAAGCAUGAUAUAUAUGUAUAUAUUG
rnacentral:lncRNA from 1 species